GGUUCGACGGGCUAUAUAAAGGCCAGGCUGGGACCUUCUGUCACCAGUGCUUAACUACACCAGUCAACAAUGUACCAGAUCGUUCUCCUCGUCCUGGCUCUGAUCGCAGUGGCCGCGGCCCAGUAUCCGUACUACGCCGGAUACUAUGGCAACGGAUACUACGGCACAUAUGCCAGUCCGUAUGCCUACUCCGGUCUUGGCUACGGCUUCUACGGCCGUUAAGCGUGGCAGGAGCGGACUUCCCUGCGCCAACGAAAAUGGAUUCAUCUUUUACAAAUGAAAUGUAUAAUUUGACAUCAAUAAACCGAGUUGGUUCC